GUAUGCCUACGGGGCGCAGCAGUGGGGAAUCUUGCACAAUGGGCGAAAGCCUGAUGCAGCAACGCCGCGUGAGCGAAGAAGGCCUUUGGGUCGUAAAGCUCUGUCCUAAGGGAAGAAGGAAGUGACGGUACCUUAGGAGGAAGCCCCGGCUAACUACGUGCCAGCAGCCGCGGUAAUACGUAGGGGGCAAGCGUUAUCCGGAAUUAUUGGGCGUAAAGAGUACGUAGGCGGUUCUUUAAGCGCCGGGUUUAAGGCGAUAGCUUAACUAUCGUUCGCCCUGUGAACUGGGGGACUUGAGUAUCGGG
rnacentral:rRNA from 1 species